UACGUAGGGUGCAAGCGUUAAUCGGAAUUACUGGGCGUAAAGCGUGCGCAGGCGGUUAUUUAAGUCAGGUGUGAAAGCCCUGGGCUUAACCUAGGAAUUGCGCUUGAGACUGGAUAGCUUGGAGUGCGGCAGAGGGAGGUGGAAUUCCACGUGUAGCAGUGAAAUGCGUAGAGAUGUGGAGGAAUACCGAUGGCGAAGGCAGCCCCCUGGGAUAACACUGACGCUCAUGCACGAAAGCGUGGGGAGCAAACAGG
rnacentral:rRNA from 1 species